rnacentral:rRNA from 1 species
CUACGGGACGCACCAGUGGGGAAUAUUGGACAAUGGGGGAAACCCUGAUCCAGCAAUGCCGCGUGUGUGAAGAAGGCCUGUGGGUUGUAAAGCACUUUCGGUUGGGAGGACUGCUUCUAGCACUAAUAUUGUUGGAAGUUGACGUUACCUUCAGAAGAAGCACCGGCUAACUCCGUGCCAGCAGCCACGGUAAUACGGAGGGUGCAAGCGUUAAUCGGAAUUACUGGGCGUAAAGCGCGCGUAGGCGGCUAGAUCAGUCGGGUGUGAAAGCCCCGGGCUUAACCUGGGAACUGCAUCCGAUACUGUCUAGCUUGAGUACAGGAGAGGAGAGUGGAAUUCCACAUGUAGCGGUGAAAUGCGUAGAUAUGUGGAGGAACACCAAUGGCGAAGGCAGCUCUCUGGCCUGAUACUGACGCUGAGGUGCGAAAGCGUGGGGAGCAAACAGGAUUAGAUACCCGCGUAGUC